rnacentral:sRNA from 1 species
UCAGCAACUCUUGCAAGGCUUUACAAUAACCUGAAAUCUUAAUGUAUGAAUGUAUAUUACAUGCAGUGGAAAAGUAGAUCAACCAACAAAGCCAGCGAAAUCGGGAAAAAAGUCUGGUGCUGCAAGUCACGCGGGGCCACAUUUCACUUCAAUAAUGGCUGCAGUCUUCAUUAUACUAUUCAACUUAAAAGCUCCAAUAGUUCUAUAAAUAUAAUGUUCUUUUAAUAAAAGCAUUUUAAACUACAUAACUAACACCUGAAGAAAUUCUUAAAGAAUAACACAAUCAUUUUUAAAACGCUUUAAUUAUAUUUACUCAGGCAAAUAAAUCUUUUUUUUUGUAUACUUAAAGUUCUA